rnacentral:rRNA from 1 species
UACAGAGGUGGCAAGCGUUGUUCGGAAUUACUGGGCGUAAAGGGUGCGCAGGUGGCGGCGCGCGUGGGGGGUGAAAUCGCCCGGCUUAACUGGGCGGGGGCCUUCCAGACGGCGUGGCUUGAGCAGCGGAGGGGGACGUGGAAUUCCGGGUGGAGCGGUGAAAUGCGUAGAUAUGCGGAGGAACACCGAUGGCGAAGGCAAUCCCCUGGGCCUGCACUGACGCUCAUGCACGAAAGCGUGGGGAGCAAACAGG